CUGGCUCAGAUUGAACGCUGGCGGCAGGCCUAACACAUGCAAGUCGAGCGGAAACGACAACAUUGAAUCUUCGGAGGAUUUGUUGGGCGUCGAGCGGCGGACGGGUGAGUAAUGCCUAGGAAAUUGCCUUGAUGUGGGGGAUAACCAUUGGAAACGAUGGCUAAUACCGCAUAAUGCCUACGGGCCAAAGAGGGGGACCUUCGGGCCUCUCGCGUCAAGAUAUGCCUAGGUGGGAUUAGCUAGUUGGUGAGGUAAUGGCUCACCAAGGCGACGAUCCCUAGCUGGUCUGAGAGGAUGAUCAGCCACACUGGAACUGAGACACGGUCCAGACUCCUACGGGAGGCAGCAGUGGGGAAUAUUGCACAAUGGGCGAAAGCCUGAUGCAGCCAUGCCGCGUGUAUGAAGAAGGCCUUCGGGUUGUAAAGUACUUUCAGUUGUGAGGAAGGGUGUGUAGUUAAUAGCUGCGCAUCUUGACGUUAGCAACAGAAGAAGCACCGGCUAAU
rnacentral:rRNA from 1 species